GACGAACGCUGGCGGCGUGCUUAACACAUGCAAGUCGAACGGAAAGGCCUGCUUUCCCUUGUGGAUUGCGGGUACUCGAGUGGCGAACGGGUGAGUAACACGUGAGUGAUCUGCCCCCAACUUGGGUAUAAGCCUGGGAAACUGGGUCUAAUUCCCGAUAGGACUGCAGGGUGGUGCCUGUGGUGGAAAACGAUUUUCUAGUGGUUGGGGAUGAGCUCGCGGCCUAUCAGCUUGUUGGUGGGGUAAUGGCCUACCAAGGCGGCGACGGGUAGCCGGGCUGGGAGGGUGGACGGCCACAUUGGGACUGAGAUACGGCCCAGACUCCUACGGGAGGCAGCAGGGGGGAAUAUUGCACAAUGGGCGGAAGCCUGAUGCAGCGACGCCGCGUGGGGGAUGACGGCCUUCGGGUUGUAAACUCCUUUCGACCGCGAGGAAGCCACCUGGUUGGAAGGGUGGUGACGGUAGUGGUAGAAGAAGCACCGGCUAACUACGUG
rnacentral:rRNA from 1 species